UACAGAGGUCUCAAGCGUUGUUCGGAUUCAUUGGGCGUAAAGGGUGCGUAGGUGGCGCGGUAAGUCGGGUGUGAAAUUUCGGAGCUUAACUCCGAAACUGCAUUCGAUACUGCCGUGCUUGAGGACUGGAGAGGAGACUGGAAUUUACGGUGUAGCAGUGAAAUGCGUAGAGAUCGUAAGGAAGACCAGUGGCGAAGGCGGGUCUCUGGACAGUUCCUGACGCUGAGACACGAAAGCGUGGGUAGCAAACAGG
rnacentral:rRNA from 1 species